rnacentral:rRNA from 1 species
AUUGAACGCUGGCGGCAUGCCUUACACAUGCAAGUCGAACGGCAGCACGGGAGCAAUCCUGGUGGCGAGUGGCGAACGGGUGAGUAAUAUAUCGGAACGUGCCCAGUAGUGGGGGAUAACUGCUCGAAAGAGCAGCUAAUACCGCAUACGACCUGAGGGGGAAAGGGGGGGACCGCAAGACCUCUCGCUAUUGGAGCGGCCGAUAUCAGAUUAGCUAGUUGGUGGGGUAAAGGCCUACCAAGGCAACGAUCUGUAGUUGGUCUGAGAGGACGACCAGCCACACUGGGACUGAGACACGGCCCAGACUCCUACGGGAGGCAGCAGUGGGGAAUUUUGGACAGUGGGCGCAAGCCUGAUCCAGCAAUGCCGCGUGCAGGAAGAAGGCCUUCGGGUUGUAAACUGCUUUUGUCAGGGAAGAAAUCCUCUAGGUUAAUACCCUUGGGGGGAUGACGGUACCUGAAGAAUAAGCACCGGCUAACUACGUGCCAGCCGCCGCGGUAACAC